AGUGAACGCUGGCGGUAGGCCUAACACAUGCAAGUCGAACGGCAGCACAGUAAGAGCUUGCUCUUACGGGUGGCGAGUGGCGGACGGGUGAGGAAUACAUCGGAAUCUACUUUUUCGUGGGGGAUAACGUAGGGAAACUUACGCUAAUACCGCAUACGACCUACGGGUGAAAGCAGGGGAUCUUCGGACCUUGCGCGAUUGAAUGAGCCGAUGUCGGAUUAGCUAGUUGGCGGGGUAAAGGCCCACCAAGGCGACGAUCCGUGGCUGGUCUGAGAGGAUAAUCAGCCACACUGGAACUGAGACACGGUCCAGACUCCUACGGGAGGCAGCAGUGGGGAAUAUUGGACAAUGGGCGCAAGCCUGAUCCAGCCAUACCGCGUGGGUGAAGAAGGCCUUCGGGUUGUAAAGCCCUUUUGUUGGGAAAGAAAAGCAGCAGGUUAAUACCCCGCUGUUCUGACGGUACCCAAAGAAUAAGCACCGGCUAACUUCGUG
rnacentral:rRNA from 1 species